rnacentral:rRNA from 1 species
GAUCCUGGCUCAGGAUGAACGCUGGCGGCGUGCUUAACACAUGCAAGUCGAACGGGAAAUAUUUCAUUGGGACUUCGGUGGAUUUGAUCUAUUUCUAGUGGCGGACGGGUGAGUAACGCGUGGGUAACCUGCCUUAUACAGGGGGAUAACAGUCAGAAAUGGCUGCUAAUACCGCAUAAGCGCACAGAGCUGCAUGGCUCAGUGUGAAAAACUCCGGUGGUAUAAGAUGGACCCGCG